rnacentral:rRNA from 1 species
AUACGGAGGGUGCAAGCGUUAUUCGGAAUCACUGGGCGUAAAGGACGCGUAGGCGGGUUGGCAAGUCAGAUGUUAAAUCCUACAGCUUAACUGUAGAACUGCAUUUGAAACUGCUAACCUAGAGUAUGGGAGGGGGAGAUGGAAUUAGUGGUGUAGGGGUAAAAUGCGUAGAUAUCACUAGGAAUACCGAAAGCGAAGGCGAUCUCCUGGAACAUAACUGACGCUAAGGCGUGAAAGCGUGGGGAGCAAACAGGACUAGAUACCCUAGUAGUCC